UCAGCUAAUUAACCGCAUAUGGUGCCUGCUGAGGAAGCGCCGAUGAGAGAGCUCUGGCGCUAUGUCACCUUGUGCCAAAGAUAUAUUCCGUGGCACCUGCCCUACCCAUAGCGCCAGUAUCAGGGUUCUGGCGUUGCUUCAGAAAGUGAUAAAGAUGACAAAUCUGGCGAUCUUCCCCUACCGCCAAAGUGCUUGCAUUUUGGGCAGGAAAGAAAUGCAACUUAGGGCUUUUUCUCUUUCUCGCAAACGCUCUUUUGUCCUUCUUCUUCAUUGAGUUUUUUUUUUCCCCCCAUAGUUAAGGGCAGCGGCCGUCGAUCAUGCACACGGAAAUGGACUUUUAUACGGAAUCUGAUUUGGGAAUAGAGAAGAGAAUGGCGAUUCUCCUCUGCGUGGGUUUUCUUUUCGCUUGCAGAACUUGAAAUGAAGAGGAUCUUGUUCCAUAUCUUCAAGGAAAGGCAGCAAAAGAAUAGCGGAGCUGGUGCAAUCCCUAGCUUCUAUAAGAAGGUGAGUCUGUCUUCUCUUUUGCGUUUUCUGUGGUCAUUUAUCUGUUGAUUUGAGAGUGUUUUUAGUGCAGAAACUGGAGGAAGUGCGUUUCUGUGCCCCUUUUGCUUUUUCUUUCUCAGUUUCAAAGCUCGUUAAACAAGAGAUCCAGGAAGGCUGUUUCUGGUAGGGGCAAUCUUAAUUCUUUUGCUUGCUUUUGAAUCUGUUUCACGCACCUGCCAUGGGGAAGCCGUGUCGCUGUGCUCCAUAAACAAAACGCCAGGUUCGACCUACUGUGGCGCGUCUAUUGUGCCAGUUAACGAUCCGUCUUUUGACGCAAUUCUAUCGCCAGAGUAUAUUUCUCACCGGCGCUAAGAGCAGCAGCUGUUCGAGCUCUGGCACGAUAUUAGCGCCAGAGCUGUAUACGUCAGGGGCUUUUUGCAACUAAGAGUAUUCCUGCUACUACCAAAGUAGCCAAACGAAGAUUA